rnacentral:rRNA from 1 species
UACGAAGGGGGCUAGCGUUGUUCGGAUUUACUGGGCGUAAAGCGCACGUAGGCGGAUUGUUAAGUCGGGGGUGAAAUCCUGGAGCUCAACUCCAGAAUUGCCUUCGAUACUGGCUUUCUAGAGGCUGGAAGAGGUUAGUGGAAUUCCGAGUGUAGAGGUGAAAUUCGUAGAUAUUCGGAGGAACACCAGUGGCGAAGGCGGCUCACUGGCUCGUAUCUGACGCUCAGGCGCGACAGCGUGGGGAUCAAACAGG